CUGCCGUUAGCCCAGUCGAUAGCACAGAGCUUCUCCUGCUCUCCUCCAUCCCUCCACCCUGUCCCCAAAUAGUUCUGCACGGCAAAUGAAAACACACACUGGGAUGGCCCUGGGAGCACAGCAGUGGUGCCCCAGGGCAAGGAAUCACCGCAGACCCUUGGGGCUCACUGUGGAGGAGGAGAAGCCAGAAAACAGCACCAGAGCCAAUGAUUUGUGAAAGAGGUAAUGUGACUCUCUCGGCUUAGAGGAAAAGUUUUCUUUUCUAAUAAAUUAUUUCUCCCCCUGGUUAGUAAAUCAUUUCCCCUUCCUAAUGCAUUUAAUUUGCUAUUCCCUUUAAUUAUUGCUUGUCCAGGUGGAUCUUAAAGGCUAUAACUUUAAAGGAGUCUCUCUUAAACCUGGCAAAAAGCCACCCCAGCCACAUCAUUAACUGAAAGACAAUCAUGCUCUGCCUUGCCUUAUAAAAGUACAGAUAGGGAUCGAGAUGCUGCAGUGUUUUUGUGAAGUUAAAAUCUUCUGGAGGAGCACUGCAGCCAGCCUGGCACCACCUCAGAACCAGAGUCCACACACAGCAUGGAUGGCAGACAGCCUACAGUUGCUUGCAGAAGCACGGAAUUUGGGCUAACUUUGGCAGUUGCAAUUCCAGGGAAUAGGAGAAACGUUUGAAGAAGCCUCUCCAGAUGUGCCCCAAGUGAGAGUUCAGGAGGUGAUCCUGCCCUUCUACUUUGCACUGUUUCCAUGGAAAUAAGUAGGAGGCAUUACUUUUGGAGUGACCUACGUAGCAUGGAAUUUCUGCUGGGAAUCAGCUCUUCUUCCAUCAGGUCUUCAUCUCAGAGGAAUCCAGAGAAAUGUCAGACUCAGACUGGUCCCUGUCACUCACAACACAUCUCACGUGCAGUGUGUGCCCAGCGAUUAUAACAAGGCACUGAGCUGGCUCCAGAUCAAGAGAGAGACAGCCUUGCUUCGGUGGGCAGCACUGGAGCCCUGGGCAAACAGAAUGACUGCAGUGGCUCCUGAAGCUCACCUCCUGUCCUCAUUGAAGGGCUUUGAAAUAGAGAAAUUACACCAAGUUGCAGUCUCAGGCCUGAGUUACUACUUCUGGAUAUGAAUUAUUCAACAUUUCUUUAAUGCCUGAAAAGAUAAAGAAUAUCCUUUUAGCUUUGCAGAUAUGGGACAGCAGAAGAGCUACUGCUAUGGAAAUAAAAACUUACCUGUUUUCUUAAAGGUCUCAAAAUCUGUGCUGUACUUGCACAUAUUUAGGAUAAAAAUCAUUUAGAUAUGCAUUUUGCUAAUUCACUUUGUAGGAGAUACUAUACCAUUAUGCAGAAUAUAAUAUUAAAUACUAGACUUUACAUGGCAUUUUAAAACAUCUGGGAAAUAUAAUGGUGAAGUUGAAUAAAAUUUAUUAUCUAAUUAUUAAAACUGCACGGAUAGGAUUUAAUUCUUCAUUGAUUUCUUUAAUUUCUUACAGCAAUUUUCUGUGGAGGAUAUGUUUUCUGAG
ensembl:lncRNA